GGGGAAUAUUGGACAAUGGGCGAAAGCCUGAUCCAGCCAUGCCGCGUGUGUGAAGAAGGUCUUCGGAUUGUAAAGCACUUUAAGUUGGGAGGAAGGGCAUUAACCUAAUACGUUAGUGUUUUGACGUUACCGACAGAAUAAGCACCGGCUAACUCCGUGCCAGCAGCCGCGGUAAUACGGAGGGUGCAAGCGUUAAUCGGAAUUACUGGGCGUAAAGCGCGCGUAGGUGGUUUGUUAAGUUGGAUGUGAAAGCCCCGGGCUCAACCUGGGAACUGCAUCCAAAACUGACGAGCUAGAGUAUGGUAGAGGGUGGUGGAAUUUCCUGUGUAGCGGUGAAAUGCGUAGAUAUA
rnacentral:rRNA from 1 species